UACAGAGGUCUCAAGCGUUGUUCGGAUUCAUUGGGCGUAAAGGGUGCGUAGGCGGCGCGGUAAGUCGGGUGUGAAAUCUCGGAGCUUAACUCCGAAACUGCAUUCGAUACUGCCGUGCUUGAGGACUGGAGAGGAGACUGGAAUUUACGGUGUAGCGGUGAAAUGCGUAGAUAUCGUAAGGAAGACCAGUGGCGAAGGCGGGUCUCUGGACAGUUCCUGACGCUGAGGCACGAAGGUCAGGGGGAGGCAAACAGGG
rnacentral:rRNA from 1 species